GACGAACGCUGGCGGCGUGCUUAACACAUGCAAGUCGAACGGAAAGGCCCUGCUUUUGUGGGGUGCUCGAGUGGCGAACGGGUGAGUAACACGUGAGUAACCUGCCCUUGACUUUGGGAUAACUUCAGGAAACUGGGGCUAAUACCGGAUAGGAGCUCCUGCUGCAUGGUGGGGGUUGGAAAGUUUCGGCGGUUGGGGAUGGACUCGCGGCUUAUCAGCUUGUUGGUGGGGUAGUGGCUUACCAAGGCUUUGACGGGUAGCCGGCCUGAGAGGGUGACCGGCCACAUUGGGACUGAGAUACGGCCCAGACUCCUACGGGAGGCAGCAGUGGGGAAUAUUGCACAAUGGGCGGAAGCCUGAUGCAGCAACGCCGCGUGCGGGAUGACGGCCUUCGGGUUGUAAACCGCUUUCGCCUGUGACGAAGCGUGAGUGACGGUAAUGGGUAAAGAAGCACCGGCUAACUACGUGCCAGCAGCCGCGGUGAUACGUAGGGUGCGAGCGUUGUCCGGAUUUAUUGGGCGUAAAGGGCUCGUAGGUGGUUGAUCGCGUCGGAAGUGUAAUCUUGGGGCUUAACCCUGAGCGUGCUUUCGAUACGGGUUGACUUGAGGAAGGUAGGGGAGAAUGGAAUUCCUGGUGGAGCGGUGGAAUGCGCAGAUAUCAGGAGGAACACCAGUGGCGAAGGCGGUCUCUGGGGCCUUUCCUGACGCUGAGGAGCGAAAGCGUGGGGAGCGAACAGGCUUAGAUACCCUGGUAGUCCACGCUGUAAACGGUGGGUACUAGGUGUGGGGUCCAUUCCACGGGUUCCGUGCCGUAGCUAACGCUUUAAGUACCCCGCCUGGGGAGUACGGCCGCAAGGCUAAAACUCAAAGGAAUUGACGGGGCCCCGCACAAGCGGCGGAGCAUGCGGAUUAAUUCGAUGCAACGCGUAGAACCUUACCUGGGUUUGACAUGGAUCGGGAGUGCUCAGAGAUGGGUGUGCCUCUUUUGGGGUCGGUUCACAGGUGGUGCAUGGCUGUCGUCAGCUCGUGUCGUGAGAUGUUGGGUUAAGUCCCGCAACGAGCGCAACCCUUGUUCACUGUUGCCAGCACGUUAUGGUGGGGACUCAGUGGAGACCACCGGGGUCAACUCGGAGGAAGGUGGGGAUGACGUCAAGUCAUCAUGCCCCUUAUGUCCAGGGCUUCACGCAUGCUACAAUGGCUGGUACAGAGAGUGGCGAGCCUGUGAGGGUGAGCGAAUCUCGGAAAGCCGGUCUCAGUUCGGAUUGGGGUCUGCAACUCGACCUCAUGAAGUCGGAGUCGCUAGUAAUCGCAGAUCAGCAACGCUGCGGUGAAUACGUUCCCGGGGCU
rnacentral:rRNA from 1 species